GAUCCUGGACUCAGGACGAACGCUGGCGGCGUGCUUAACACAUGCAAGUCGAACGGAGAUAUUCAGGAUGAGAGCUUCGGGCAGGAAUCCAGGAUAUUUUAGUGGCGGACGGGUGAGUAACGCGUGAGCAACCUGUCCCAGGACAGGGGGAUAACACUUGGAAACAGGUGCUAAUACCGCAUAAGACCACGGCAUCACAUGGUGCAGGGGUAAAAGGUGCAAACCGGUUUGGGGUGGGCUCGCGUCCGAUUAGAUAGUUGGUGAGGUAACGGCCCACCAAGUCGACGAUCGGUAGCCGAUCUGAGAGGAUGACCGGCCACAUUGGAACUGAGAGACGGUCCAAACUCCUACGGGAGGCAGCAGUGGGGAAUAUUGGGCAAUGGGCGAAAGCCUGACCCAGCAACGCCGCGUGAGUGAAGAAGGCCUUCGGGUUGUAAAGCUCUGUUAUAGUUGACGAAGGAAGUGACGGUAGGCUAUAAGGAAGCCCCGGCUAACUACGUGCC
rnacentral:rRNA from 1 species